CGGGGGCGGGGGCGGGAGGGCCCCUGCCGCGCCGCCGGGCGACGUUUCCCGCUGGGCCCGUCAGACCCCUAAAAGCCGGGGUGCGUGCUGUUUCGGUAAGGUGUGAGCGAAUUAAAGGUCGCCGCGGGGCCCGGCUCGGGGUCUGAAAGCAACAGUACAGUGCCCGCAGCCCCAUUUCCUAUAUGUACGUCGAGCUGGGCAACUGGAGCCUCCUCGGAUGGCACCCGCUUCGAGGAGAAACGAAGGGACGCGUCGAAGAGCUGGAGUCCCAGCGCGGGACCGUAGAAGUCAAUGGAAGGCCGUGCGAUGAGCGUGGAGCAGGCGGGGCAGUACCUACCUGCAGGAUUCGUAGCUUCUCCAGCGCUCCCGCACCGCUAGUGCUCACCGCUGUGUUUCCUUUGCCCGCUAUAACUAACUAACCUGAAUGGUACAGAUUUACUCUUCCAAUCAAGUUGUGCCUCAAUGAGGAGUUAGCGAUGGCUAGUUAAUAUUAAAUUCAGGGCUACGAGAUCUGGGAUUUUUUUCUCCGGUGUGUUAUUUUACAGCUCGUUGAAGAUACUACUGUAAAAGCUAAAAGCUCUUGCUCCCUUAUUAACAAACUUUUUCUUACCAGUGUAAUUCACUCUGAUUUGAUUUGUUAGUUCUUUCAUGGUAUCUUGCAGAUCCUAUUACAGAGUUGCCUGUCAUGAUCAAUCUGCUCUGCCUAAUUGUGUGUUCCUGUUCGAAAGUGUUCUGGGGAACAGGAAAAAACCCCUAAUCUGCAUCAUAACCAUUUAAAAUUGAAAGGUAAAUCUUCAUUAAAGUAUUUGAGUGGACUGAUGCGGCGUGCAAAUGACGUGAAGCAGAGAGUUGUAAAUGACAGUGUUCUGCAGAAAAAAUUGAAUUGUGCUGCAUUUACUGGAACAUUUCUUCUGAAACACAUCAGUGUGUUUCAGAACUCUGUCUGAAUCUGGGUUUUCCCAUUAUUCUAUAGAAAAGUAGGUCUCUUGAAAGACUACAAGUUUUGCACAACAUGUUCUCAUACUUUUAACUUAAAACUGAAACAGAAGCAUUGCGAUACAGGAAUUGCUGUGUAAUUUGAGGUGCAGAGUUGAGGUCGUCUAAGAAUGUUUUGCCAAGUAAGAAAUCAAUAUGAUCUUGCAUAAAAUGGAGUAAAGUGUAUAUUUCCCUUCAGCAAAGUCUGCAAAACAAGGUAGAAAAAAAAUUCUUGCUACAGCAGCUAAACUGAAGUUUAGGAAACUGAUGCUUAAAGGGGACAGUUUUGCUGCACACAUAUUAAAAAUUACAUCAGAAGGCAGACUCCGGACAGCAAAUAGUCGGAGAUUAAAAAGCUGAAUUUGCUAAACAGGCAGCAAAGUUGUGUUCUUACGCCUCAUACCAAUAAGCACAUUUACUCCCAUAUACUGUAAAUAAAGUGUUUUGACUAAUUACUUCUUUGUACAUCCAAUGAAUAGGUCUCUAUGUGGUUAUGAGCAGAGUCAGUAAAUACACCUUUACACCGUAAUAGCCAGGUGGUCUUCCACUGAGCUUAGAAGAACCCUGUGGAUUCUUUGUGAUCCACAUGCUGGCAAUCCAGGGAUGGGCCCAGUACAGCUAUGUUGAAACAAAACAGAAUGUGCCAGAGCUCCCUCAAAAUAUUUGGAAAAGGUAUCUUUUGAAACUGUUUUUUAAGCAACUUGUUUGCCUCAUGAUUAUUGUAUGAGUUAGAUAUUGCGUAAUUAAUUAUUCACAUCCUAUUGUGCAAAACCAUGAACAGAGAACUCGUCUUUGUAUCUGCUUAAUAUUUCAUAGAAAUUCCUUAGCCUGAUUCUCCUCUUUUCUGCCCCACUUGCAGCCACUAAAUUACUUCCACUUUACUGAAGCUUAAAUUAGAGAUCAGUUGGGACACAGAUUAAUUUUUUUAUUCAUCUUUCCAAAGUAGCUAAACAAAACCGAUUCACAGUCACCCAGAAGCUCUUACCUUGAUGUGUGUAAUAUAAUUCUUUAUUAAAUCAGUGGGAAUCAUGUAUGUGUCCCAAAGUAAGAAUUUACUCAGUAUCUCAUUCAUAGAAUUGAAUUAUUAAAAAAUAGACUUGUUGAGCGAUGCUGAAUUUUUGCUUGUUCAUAAGCACAUUUGCUCUACUUCUUGUAACGUUGAAGAGAUUGAGCCUGUGAACUAUGAGUUCUGCUUUGUACAUUUUUGUGGUUUUGAAAAUGUAAAUACAAAUAAUGUCGUACUUCUGAGAGCGAGCGUGGUUUGAAGUGCAUGUUUCUCUAUUCAUGUGACAAAGGAAAAGUUCAUUUUUUAAUUGCAGCCAUUAUUAAAGCAUGCAGGCACAUUUAA